rnacentral:rRNA from 1 species
UACGUAGGGUGCGAGCGUUAAUCGGAAUUACUGGGCGUAAAGCGUGCGCAGGCGGUUUUGUAAGCCAGAUGUGAAAUCCCCGGGCUUAACCUGGGAAUGGCAUUUGGGACUGCAAGGCUCGAGUGCGGCAGAGGAGACUGGAAUUCCUGGUGUAGCAGUGAAAUGCGUAGAUAUCAGGAGGAACACCGGUGGCGAAGGCGGAUCUCUGGGCCGUAACUGACGCUGAGGAGCGAAAGCAUGGGGAGCGAACAGG